UACGAAGGGGGCUAGCGUUGUUCGGAAUCACUGGGCGCAAAGCGCACGUAGGCGGCCACUCAAGUCAGAGGUGAAAGCCCAGGGCUCAACCUUGGAAUUGCCUUUGAAACUAGGUGGCUUGAACAUAGGAGAGGCGAGUGGAAUUCCGAGUGUAGAGGUGAAAUUCGUAGAUAUUCGGAAGAACACCAGUGGCGAAGGCGGCGAUCUGGGCUGAUACUGACGCUGAGGUGCGAAAGCGUGGGGAGCAAACAGG
rnacentral:rRNA from 1 species